rnacentral:rRNA from 1 species
AUUCCAGCUCCAAUAGCGUAUAUUAAAGUUGUUGCGGUUAAAAAGCUCGUAGUUGGAUUUCUGGGUUCAUCGCUAGCUUUGGUCCGCAAGGGCUUCAGUGGGCUGUUUGAAUCCAUCCUCAGGGGGACCCAUGCUGGUAUUCAUUUAUCGGUGUGGGAACGCCUGUCGUUUACUGUGAACAAAUUAGAGUGUUCAAAGCAAGGUGUACUUGAAUACAUUAGCAUGGAAUAAUAAGAUAGGACUUUGGUGGUUCUUUUUGAUAUUUUGUUGGUUUGCACGCCAAAGUAAUGAUUAAUAGGAGCAGUUGGGGGUAUUCGUAUUCAAUUGUCAGAGGUGAAAUUCUUGGAUUUAUAGAAGACGAACUACUGCGAAAGCAUUUACCAAGGAUGUUUUCAUCG